CCAGACUCCUACGGGAGGCAGCAGUGGGGAAUAUUGCACAAUGGGGGAAACCCUGAUGCAGCAACGCCGCGUGAGUGAAGAAGUCAUUCGUGAUGUAAAGCUCUAUCAGCAGGGAAGAAAAUGACGGUACCUGAGUAAGAAGCCCCGGCUAACUACGUGCCAGCAGCCGCGGUAAUACGUAGGGGGCAAGCGUUAUCCGGAUUUACUGGGUGUAAAGGGAGCGUAGACGGUGAUGCAAGUCAGAAGUGAAAGCCCGGGGCUCAACUCUGGGACUGCUUUUGAAACUGUGUAACUGGAGUGCAGGAGAGGUAAGCGGAAUUCCUGGUGUAGCGGUGAAAUGCGUAGAUAUCAGGAGGAACACCAGUGGCGAAGGCGGCCUGCUGGACCGCGACUGACGUCGAGGCUCGAAAGCGUGGGGAGCGAACAGGAUUAGAUACCCCAGUA
rnacentral:rRNA from 1 species